rnacentral:sRNA from 1 species
GGCGGACGAGGCCCCGCGGAAGGGCAGCUUCUCGGCGCUCGUGGGCCGCACCAACGGCCUCACCAAGCCCGCGGCCCUGGCCGCCGCGCCCGCCAAGCCGGGGGGCGCGGGCGGCUCCAAGAAGCUGGUCAUCAAGAACUUCCGAGGCUGUGGAAAAUCUCUGUUCUCACAAAGUCUCCCCAAUGCUCUACAAGCAACUGCGUCAGGCCUGUGAAGACCACGUCCAGGCACAGAUCCUUCCGUUUAGAGAAGACUCACUAGAUAGUGUUUUAUUUUUAAAGAAGAUUAACAC